GGGGGGGACGGAGAAGGCUAUGUUGGCCGGGCGACGGUUGUCCCGGUUUAAGCGUGUAGGCUGGUUUUCCAGGCAAAUCCGGAAAAUCAAGGCUGAGGCGUGAUGACGAGGCACUACGGUGCUGAAGCAACAAAUGCCCUGCUUCCAGGAAAAGCCUCUAAGCAUCAGGUAACAUCAAAUCGUACCCCAAACCGACACAGGUGGUCAGGUAGAGAAUACCAAGGCGCUUGAGAGAACUCGGGUGAAGGAACUAGGCAAAAUGGUGCCGUAACUUCGGGAGAAGGCACGCUGAUAUGUAGGUGAGGUCCCUCGCGAAUGGAGCUGAAAUCAGUCGAAGAUACCAGCUGGCUGCAACUGUUUAUUAAAAACACAGCACUGUGCAAACACGAAAGUGGACGUAUACGGUGUGACGCCUGCCCGGUGCCGGAAGGUUAAUUGAUGGGGUUAGCGCAAGCGAAGCUCUUGAUCGAAGCCCCGGUAAACGGCGGCCGUAACUAUAACGGUCCUAAGGUAGCGAAAUUCCUUGUCGGGUAAGUUCCGACCUGCACGAAUGGCGUAAUGAUGGCCAGGCUGUCUCCACCCGAGACUCAGUGAAAUUGAACUCGCUGUGAAGAUGCAGUGUACCCGCGGCAAGACGGAAAGACCCCGUGAACCUUUACUAUAGCUUGACACUGAACAUUGAGCCUUGAUGUGUAGGAUAGGUGGGAGGCUUUGAAGUGUGGACGCCAGUCUGCAUGGAGCCGACCUUGAAAUACCACCCUUUAAUGUUUGAUGUUCUAACGUUGACCCGUAAUCCGGGUUGCGGACAGUGUCUGGUGGGUAGUUUGACUGGGGCGGUCUCCUCCUAAAGAGUAACGGAGGAGCACGAAGGUUGGCUAAUCCUGGUCGGACAUCAGGAGGUUAGUGCAAUGGCAUAAGCCAGCUUGACUGCGAGCGUGACGGCGCGAGCAGGUGCGAAAGCAGGUCAUAGUGAUCCGGUGGUUCUGAAUGGAAGGGCCAUCGCUCAACGGAUAAAAGGUACUCCGGGGAUAACAGGCUGAUACCGCCCAAGAGUUCAUAUCGACGGCGGUGUUUGGCACCUCGAUGUCGGCUCAUCACAUCCUGGGGCUGAAGUAGGUCCCAAGGGUAUGGCUGUUCGCCAUUUAAAGUGGUACGCGAGCUGGGUUUAGAACGUCGUGAGACAGUUCGGUCCCUAUCUGCCGUGGGCGCUGGAGAACUGAGGGGGGCUGCUCCUAGUACGAGAGGACCGGAGUGGACGCAUCACUGGUGUUCGGGUUGUCAUGCCAAUGGCACUGCCCGGUAGCUAAAUGCGGAAGAGAUAAGUGCUGAAAGCAUCUAAGCACGAAACUUGCCCCGAGAUGAGUUCUCCCUGACCCUUUAAGGGUCCUGAAGGAACGUUGAAGACGACGACGUUGAUAGGCCGGGUGUGUAAGCGCAGCGAUGCGUUGAGCUAACCGGUACUAAUGAACCGUGAGGCUUAACCUC
rnacentral:rRNA from 1 species